rnacentral:rRNA from 1 species
GACGAACGCUGGCGGCGUGCCUAAUACAUGCAAGUAGAACGCACAGGAUGCACCGUAGUUUACUACACCGUAUUCUGUGAGUUGCGAACGGGUGAGUAACGCGUAGGUAACCUGCCUGGUAGCGGGGGAUAACUAUUGGGAACGAUAGCUAAUACCGCAUAACAGUAGAUAUUGCAUGAUAUCUGCUUGAAAGGGGCAAUUGCUCCACUACCAGAUGGACCUGCGUCGUAUUAGCUAGUUGGUGAGGUAACGGCUCACCAAGGCGACGAUACAUAGCCGACCUGAGAGGGUGAUCGGCCACACUGGGACUGAGACACGGCCCAGACUCCUACGGGAGGCAGCAGUAGGGAAUCUUCGGCAAUGGACGGAAGUCUGACCGAGCAACGCCGCGUGAGUGAAGAAGGUUUUCGGAUCGUAAAGCUCUGUUGUAAGAGAAGAACGAGUGUGAGAGUGGAAAGUUCACACUGUGACGGUAUCUACCAGAAA